AUGAAAGUGCUGCACUCAAUAUGCCAGCAAAUUUGGAAAACUCAGCAGUGGCCACAGGACUGGAAAAGGUCAGUUUUCAUUCCAAUCCCAAAGAAAAGCAAUGCCAAAGAAUGCUCAAACUACCACACAAUUGCACUCAUCUCACAUGCUAGUAAAGUAAUGCUCAAAAUUCUCCAAGCCAGGCUUCAGCAAUAUGUGAACCACGAACUUCCUGACAUUCAAGCUGGUUUUGGAAAAGGCAGAGGAACCAGAGAUCAAAUUGCCAACAUCCGCUGGAUCAUGGAAAAAGCAAGAGAGUUCCAGAAAAACAUCUAUUUCUGCUUUAUUGACUAUGCCAAAGCCUUUGACUGUGUGCAUCACAAUAAACUGUGGAAAAUUCUGAAAGAGAUGGGAAUACCAGACCACCUAACCUGCCUCUUGAGAAAUCUGUAUGCAGGUCAGGAAGCAACAGUUAGAACUGGACAUGGAACAACAGACUGGUUCCAAAUAGGAAAAGGAGUACGUCAAGGCUGUAUAUUGUCACCCUGCUUAUGUAACUUCUAUACAGAGCACAUCAUGAGAAACGCUGGACUGGAAGAUACACAAGCUGGAAUCAAGAUUGCCGGCAGAAAUAUCAAUAACCUCAGAUAUGCAGAUGACACCACCCUUAUGGCAGAAAGUGAAGAGGAGCUAAAAAGCCUCUUGAUGAAAGUGAAAGAGGAGAGUGAAAAUGUUGGCUUAAAGCUCAACAUUCAGAAAACGAAGAUCAUGGCAUCUGGUCCCAUCACUUCAUGGGAAAUAGAUGGGGAAACAGUGGAAACAGUGUCAGACUUUAUUUUUUGGGGCUCCAAAAUCACUGCAGAUGGUGACUGCAGCCAUGAAAUUGAAAGAUGCUUACUCCUUGGAAGAAAAGUUAUGACCAACCUAGAUAGCAUAUGGAAAAGCAGAGACAUUACUUUGCCAACUAAGGUCCAUCUAGUCAAGGCUAUGGUUUUUCCUGUGGUCAUGUAUAGAUGUGAGAGUUGGACUGUGAAGAAAGCUGAGCGCUGA
rnacentral:lncRNA from 1 species